rnacentral:misc_RNA from 1 species
GUUUCUACUCGUUGGGAAAUAUUUCCGAAAUCUAGGUCAACUGAUAAAACCGUGGAUUAUGGACACUUUAAGUCAACUGGAACUCAAAAUAUUAGAGCACUGUUUUGGAAAUAAUGUUUAGAUAGCCGCUGGGCCAUAUUCAAACAAAUAUCUAAUUGUUCAUUUGCUAAAAUUAUUUUUCAAAUUUGUAUUAGCGUACAGCAAAGAAUACUUGACUAAAUAAACAUUUCGUUCAGUGCACAUGGCCAUGGGGACUAAAGCAAAACCAAUCCUCUACUCCUAUUUCCGCAGUUCCUGCUCAUACAGGGUUAGAAUAGCAUUAGCUCUGAAGGGGGUGGAGUAUGAAUACCGUGCAGUGAACCUCGUCAAAGAUGGUGGCCAACAACAUUUUGACGAAUACAAACAGCUCAACCCAAUGGAAAUGGUGCCAUCUUUUGUGGUAGAUGGUCAAGCAUUGACCCAGUCGGUGCCCAUCAUGGAGUACAUAGAGGAGGUUUACCCCCAGAAGCCAAGUUUACUACCCAAAGAUCCCUUAGUAAGAGCUCAGGUUAGGGCAGUUUCUGAGAUUAUAAAUAGUGGUAUACAACCAAUACAGAAUCUGCCAGUGCUGCAGUAUGUGGGGGAUGAAAAGAAGAUGGAAUGGGGACGUUACUGGAUUGAUAAAGGUUUCAAAGGGCUGGAGAAGCAGUUACAGCAGACUGCUGGUGAAUUUUGUGUGGGAGACGAGGUGUCUAUGGCAGAUGCAUGUCUAGUUCCACAGGUCUUUAAUGCUAACAGGUUCAAGGUGGAUAUGAGCCAAUUCCCGACCAUUAACAAGAUUCACCAGAAUUGUUUGAACCUAGAGGCAUUCAAGGCAGCUGGCCCCACCAUGCAGCCAGACUGCCCAGACGAUCUCAAAUAAUGUAGACAUAAAUGUUGGUACAUAAGCCCAAAUGAUGAGCAGGCCUCGCUUAAAAUCUUACGAGUCAAUUUGUGUUAGGACAGGUUAAAUAUGUUCUCAUAAGAGGUGGUAGGGGUGAAUUUACUUAAGAAAAAUUGGCUGCUAUUUAAUUUGAUUUGACAUUCGACUUGAUUUGACAAAGAUUUAUACCCAAUCUUCUAAAGAAUUGGUAAUACACCAAAUUAAAGUGGAUGCCAGUUUAAAGCAAAUUUCAGUAAACAAUAUGUACUACAAUAUGAUAUCAACUAACUGACUAAGUGAUAAGGAAAUAAGGUAAUGAUAGCAUUCAACUCCACAGGAAGGCAUAUGUAUCAAUUAUAGUGUAGGGCUUAACCAGACUUGACCAAACGAUCAUAUGGCAGCUAUAGUGAUAUUUGGUUUCUCGUGAUAUACAUGUACUGGACUAUACCAUGCAUAUACAGAUAUUUUCAUGUUUUUAGUUUCUAUCUAAUGUACAAUUGUUAGGACUUGAUACAGUAAGAUAUACAAUCUUGUAGAUUAGGGAAAUAUAUACUUGGAUUAUAUCAAAGUAUAAUGAAAGAAUCAAUCUUUUUUGUCGAUUAUGUGUAAUAGAAUUGAAAUUGCUGUAGUGGUCAAAAUUGUUGUGGUGGUGGUCAAAAUCCUGAAGGGGUGUGUCAGGAUCCAGCCUAAAAUCCAC